UGGGGAAUAUUGCGCAAUGGGGGAAACCCUGACGCAGCGACGCCGCGUGAGCGAUGAAGGCCUUCGGGUCGUAAAGCUCUGUCAGGUGGGAAGAACCCUUCGUCGAUGAAUAACCGACGAAGCUGACGGUACCACCAGAGGAAGCACCGGCUAACUCCGUGCCAGCAGCCGCGGUAACACGGAGGGUGCAAGCGUUGUUCGGAAUUACUGGGCGUAAAGGGCGCGCAGGCGGUCCGGUCAGUCGGAAGUGAAAUCCGUCGGCUCAACCGACGAAUGGCUUCCGAUACUACCGGACUUGAGUACGGGAGAGGAAAGCGGAAUUCCCAGUGUAGAGGUGAAAUUCGUAGAUAUUGGGAAGAACACCGGUGGCGAAGGCGGCUUUCUGGACCGAUACUGACGCUGAGGCGCGAAAGCGUGGGGAGCAAACA
rnacentral:rRNA from 1 species